rnacentral:rRNA from 1 species
AUUAAACGCUGGCGGCAUGCCUUACACAUGCAAGUCGAACGGCAGCACGGGGGCAACCCUGGUGGCGAGUGGCGAACGGGUGAGUAAAGCAUCGGAACGUGCCCUGGAGUGGGGGAUAACGUAGCGAAAGUUACGCUAAUACCGCAUAUUCUGUGAGCAGGAAAGCAGGGGAUCGCAAGACCUUGCGCUCUGGGAGCGGCCGAUGUCGGAUUAGCUAGUUGGUGGGGUAAAGGCCUACCAAGGCGACGAUCCGUAGCGGGUCUGAGAGGAUGAUCCGCCACACUGGGACUGAGACACGGCCCAGACUCCUACGGGAGGCAGCAGUGGGGAAUUUUGGACAAUGGGCGCAAGCCUGAUCCAGCCAUGCCGCGUGAGUGAAGAAGGCCUCGGGUU